rnacentral:rRNA from 1 species
GACGAACCGUGCGAACGUUGUUCGGAAUCACUGGGCGUAAAGCGCGCGUAGGCGGAUCUGCAAGUCGGGGGUGAAAUCCCGAGGCUCAACCUCGGAACUGCCUUCGAUACUGCGGGUCUCGAGUCCGGGAGAGGUGAGUGGAAUUCCUAGUGUAGAGGUGAAAUUCGUAGAUAUUAGGAAGAGCACCAGUGGCGAAGGCGGCUCACUGGCCCGGUACUGACGCUGAGGCGCGAAAGCGUGGGGAGCAAACAGG